GUUUAUUACAGAGCAGCGGGGCAUGUGAACGGCAUUCACCACCGUGUUGAUGGAGCGGACCAGGGAGGAGAUCCAGUGACCUUGACAACGAGGACAGACGAUGCUCAUACAAUGUCUCGAUGACGGAGGUCCUGGAAAGGUUUGAUGAUUUGCUGCUGCUCGAAUUGACAAAUCAUUGCAUCCAGAGGCUGGAAGAGGCGAUUCAAGAGGUGGUGGUAGAAUGUCAUUUUCGUUCUAGCAUACGAGAGAUAUUUCAGUGACCAAGAGUACAAGCAAAUCAUCAAAGGCACAAAUAAAGGAUAACGUGCGGCCAGUUCCAGACUUCUCCUCAAACUGGUGACAGAGAAAGAGCCCCGGGUCCGAAAACUGAUACGGAAAUGCUUCGUGAAAAUGCACAACGUGCUCUCCUAAUGAGAGGAAUUGCUGAAAGCAAUGGGGGUAGAUGGUACAGGACAUGCAUGGUUCGAUAUGGAAUCUGUUCUUAUCAUCAAAACACAACCCACACUCAUUCCAUGAACUGAUUCCAACAAUUUGUGAUCUUAUCGAAUCGUUCAAAGCCAUGCAGGCUUCCUUGGAACUAGCUGCUGAACUGAAAGGUAUUCAAUUGCAUGCUUUGUUUAGUUUGAAGACACAGCAUAGAACCAUUACAUUCGGACCACUGUGUACAUGCUGUCCAUCGAUCACACGUUCACGAUGGUCCUAUUUUGUCAAAUGUUUAUAUCAACUUCCUACAGACGAGGAACAAUUUACAGAGGGCCAAUUAACCUACAUCUUUGUGAUGUUGGAGG